GGCCUUGUUACACCUUCGAAGUGAAAUUUUUACCUAAAAACACCUGGUUCGAUCUCGGCUUCACAUACAGGGACGCACUUGCCUUUAAGAAAACAAGCACGAGCUUACAGGUGAUUCGGGAGAAUUUCAAGCCACUGGACCAAACGCAGGUGCCACGGAAGGCUGAAGUGUCGUCCGUAGAUCACUCGUCUCGUCAUACA